rnacentral:rRNA from 1 species
UCCUACGGGGCGCAGCAGUGGGGAAUAUUGCACAAUGGGGGAAACCCUGAUGCAGCGACGCCGCGUGAGUGAAGAAGUAUUUCGGUACGUAAAGCUCUAUCAGCAGGGAAGAAAAAAAGUCCUUUGGACUUUGGACGGUACCUGACCAAGAAGCCCCGGCUAACUACGUGCCAGCAGCCGCGGUAAUACGUAGGGGGCAAGCGUUAUCCGGAUUUACUGGGUGUAAAGGGAGCGUAGACGGCGAUACAAGUCUGAAGUGAAAGCCCGGGGCUCAACCCCGGGACUGCUUUGGAAACUGUGUUGCU